UCUCCGCUGGUGAACCAGCGGAGGGAUCAUUACAGGACUCGCAAGACUCCUUCACCCUGUGAACCUCACUACAAGCACGUUGCUUCGGCGGGUGUCCCGGCGGGGGUUUUCCCUCGCCGGGGCGCACAGCCCGCCGGCAGCCUACUAUACUCUGUCUCUUUGCGUUGGCAUCUCGAGAAAAAACAAACAAGUUAAAACUUUCAACAACGGAUCUCUUGGUUCUG
rnacentral:misc_RNA from 1 species